CAGCCGCCGCGGGAAUACAGAGGGUGCGAGCGUUAAUCGGAUUUACUGGGCGUAAAGCGUGCGUAGGCGGCUUCUUAAGUCGGAUGUGAAAUCCCUGAGCUUAACUUAGGAAUUGCAUUCGAUACUGGGAAGCUAGAGUAUGGGAGAGGAUGGUAGAAUUCCAGGUGUAGCGGUGAAAUGCGUAGAGAUCUGGAGGAAUACCGAUGGCGAAGGCAGCCAUCUGGCCUAAUAUUGACGCUGAGGUACGAAAGCAUGGGGAGCAAACAGGAUUAGAUACCCGCGUAGUCCCUGUCUCUUAUAC
rnacentral:rRNA from 1 species